rnacentral:rRNA from 1 species
UGGCGAACGGGUGAGUAACACGUGGGUGAUCUGCCCUGCACUUCGGGAUAAGCCUUGGAAACUGUGUCUAAUACCGGAUAGGAGCCAUUUUUAGUGUGAUGGUUGGAAAGUUUUUUCGGUGUAGGAUGAGCUCGCGGCCUAUCAGCUUGUUGGUGGGGUAAUUGCCUACCAAGGCUGCGACGGGUAGCCGGCCUGAGAGGGUGGACGGCCACAUUGGGACUGAGAUACGGCCCAG